AUGGAGAGCAUGUCUACCACCUCCGCCGCCAUGUCGCCCAGCACCAUGGGUGCACUUUCCACCACCUCCUCCUCCACCUUCGCCUCCUCAUCCACCACCACCACCACCACCACCGCAUCCCUUGGAUCACCACCACAGGAGAAGCUGAUGAGGGGGAAUUUUCUUCUCUGGAAGGCCGUCGUGCUGCCGCAGAUCAAAGGGGCACAUAUGGAGCAUCAUCUCGACGCGAAGAGCCCGGCACCACCGCCCACCCUCACCAUCACCAAGGACGGCAAGGAAGAGCAGAUCACCAACUUUGCAAACACCCUCUGGUAUGCACAACAACAGCAACUUCAAGGAUAUUUGAUGGGCUCUCUUUCUCGCGAUAUUCUUGCACAAGUCGCCACGUUACAGACGCCGGCCGAAGUUUAG
rnacentral:rRNA from 1 species